rnacentral:misc_RNA from 1 species
AUAUUUCACAAUUGCCCAGCUGAUGUCUAUGUUCACUUACCUUCAGAUAUACUCUCAGAGAAUAAGUGUCCCCAAACCAUAAUAUAGUACCCUCGACCAAUUGACAGUUUUAUGAGUAUCACACAAAUAAUAAACUAAUGAACUUGGCAUAAGAUACUACGAAUACCAAGUAAUAGAUGAAUAUGAAAUCAGCAUAAGCUAAUUUGAUAAUAUAAUGCCAUAAGUAUAGAA